rnacentral:rRNA from 1 species
CUAAGGCUCCAGAGGAAGCCACGGCUAACUCUGUGCCAGCAGCCGCGGUAAUACAGAGGCGGCAAGCGUCGUUCGGAAUUAUUGGGCGUAAAGAGCACGUAGGCGGCCUUGCAAGUCAGUUGUGAAAGCCUUCCGCUUAACGGAAGAAUGCCAGCUGAUACUACAGGGCUUGAGUACGGGAGGGGAGAGUGGAACUUCUGGUGGAGCGGUGAAAUGCGUAGAUAUCAGAAGGAGCGCCGGCGGCGAAAGCGACUCUCUGGCCCGAAACUGACGCUGAGUGUGCGAAAGCUAGGGGAGCAAACGGGAUUAGAUACCCCGGUAGUCCUAGCCGUAAA